rnacentral:rRNA from 1 species
UACAGAGGUGGCAAGCGUUGUUCGGAAUUACUGGGCGUAAAGGGCGCGUAGGCGGUUCGUUAAGUCCUGUGUGAAAUCCCCCGGCUCAACUGGGGAACUGCACAGGAAACUAGCGGGCUUGAGUUCGGGAGAGGGAAGCGGAGUUCCGGGUGUAGCGGUGAAAUGCGUAGAUAUCCGGAGGAACACCGGUGGCGAAGGCGGCUUUCUGGACCGACACUGACGCUGAGGCGCGAAAGCUAGGGGAGCAAACGGG